rnacentral:rRNA from 1 species
UACGGGGGGAGCAAGCGUUGUUCGGAUUUACUGGGCGUAAAGGGCGCGUAGGCGGUCAGCACAAGUCAGUUGUGAAAUCUCCGGGCUUAACUCGGAAAGGUCAACUGAUACUGUGCGACUAGAGUGCAGAAGGGGCAACUGGAAUUCUCGGUGUAGCGGUGAAAUGCGUUGAUAUCAUCAGGAACACCGGUGGCGAAAGCGGCUUACUGGGUCUCUUCUGACGCUGAGGAACGAAAGCUAGGGUAGCGAACGGG